GAGGGGGGAGGGGACAUUUCAACAAAUAAGCCUAUCCCUAAUUAAUAAAGUAUGUUAUGUUUUAGUAUUUUACAUAUGCAUCUUUUUCUAUUGUAUAUUCUUUUUUAUAAAAACGAUAUUGGGGGAGGGGGAAUAUUAUCUAGGGCCUCGUGUGCAGGGAUAAAUGCACUAACCACUUGAGCCACAAGUCCCAUGCAGAACUAUAUAUUCUUUAGGUUGCUACUUAGUGGCAUCUCUCCAAAAAAAAAAAAAAAGUCAAUAGAUGGUUGGUCACCUAAAGUUUGCAUACAAAUAUAGUUAGUUAUAUAAAAAUAAAAUCAUUUGUGUGUAAAAAAGUUCUCUUAUCAAUGGAAUCUAGUCUAAUGGAAAAAUGCCUUGACUUGCUGACUAGUGGUCUCAUAUUCAAACCCCCAAAGCAUUGUGAUAGUGUGUGUGUGUUUAAAAACCCCCCAUCUCUAUAUAAUUUAGACUUGUUAAAUUCAGAGAGACGGGUCAAUGGCCCACUACUAGCAACACCGAUAUUGUUCCCAACUUAACCAUCUACAAAGUAUAGUAGGUGUGAUGUUUUAUAACAAAAGACCUCGAUAUUAUUAGGAGUUGAACCACUUAUUAUAAGUUGUAAUUUAUUUAGUCAAGUUUUCUAUGUGUGACUUUAUAUUCUUCAACACGCCUCCUCACGUGGGACCACCAUAUAGUGGGCCACACAUUGAACCAAGUCUAUAUCAGAGUAAAUCAUUCAAGCUCAACAUGUGAACACCACGUAUUGGGUAAGGGGUAUGAGUAAACAUUCAAGCCCAACAUGUAAACACUACAUAUUGGGUAAGGGUAAAUGCCUAAUUCAGGGCCAGUCAAUCAACCCGCUCUCCAUGAUAAGAUUUCAGAUAAACGGACCCUUGGUCCACUACUAGCAAUAUCGAU
rnacentral:lncRNA from 1 species